rnacentral:rRNA from 1 species
UACGUAGGGAGCAAGCGUUGUUCGGAUUUACUGGGCGUAAAGGGCGCGUAGGCGGCAGAUCAAGUCAGCUGUGAAAUCUCCGAGCUUAACUCGGAACUGUCAGCUGAUACUGUUUUGCUAGAGUGCGGAAGGGGCAAUCGGAAUUCUUGGUGUAGCGGUGAAAUGCGUAGAUAUCAAGAGGAACACCAGUGGCGAAGGCGGCUCACUGGCCCGGUACUGACGCUGAGGUGCGAAAGCGUGGGGAGCAAACAGG